rnacentral:rRNA from 1 species
AUUGAACGCUGGCGGCAGGCCUAACACAUGCAAGUCGAGCGAGCGGCGGACGGGUGAGUAAUGUCUGGGAAACUGCCUGAUGGAGGGGGAUAACUACUGGAAACGGUAGCUAAUACCGCAUACCAUCAGAUGUGCCCAGAUGGGAGUAGCUAGUAGGUGGGGUAAUGGCUCACCUAGGCGACGAUCCUUAGCUGGUCUGAGAGGAUGACCAGCCACACUGGAACUGAGACACGGUCCAGACGCCUACGGGAGGCAGCGGUGGGGAAUAUUGCACAAUUGGCGCAAGCCUGAUGCAGCCAUGCCGCGUGUGUGAAGAGGGCCUUCGGAUUGUAAAGCACUUUAAGUUUGUAGGCGUUACCAACAGAAUAAGCACCGGCUAACUUCGUGCCAGCAGCCGCGGUAAUUC